rnacentral:rRNA from 1 species
UACGGGGGGGGCAAGCGUUGUUCGGAAUUACUGGGCGUAAAGGGCGCGUAGGCGGCCUGUUAAGUCGAACGUGAAAUCCCCGGGCUCAACCCGGGAGCUGCGUCCGAUACUGGCAGGCUUGAAUCCGGGAGAGGGAUGCGGAAUUCCAGGUGUAGCGGUGAAAUGCGUAGAUAUCUGGAGGAACACCGGUGGCGAAGGCGGCAUCCUGGACCGGUAUUGACGCUGAGGUGCGAAAGCCAGGGGAGCAAACGGG